CACACACAGAGAAUUACGGAGGGGAGACUGAAAAGCAGAGAGCAAAAAAGAGAACAGAAGCGGCGAGAUUAGCAACGAGAAAAAUCUAGCGCCGCAGCCUCUUCAUCCCAAAAAUCUACCUCUACAGCUACACCACCAUGGAAAUACCAUAGCUAAUCCUCAUUUUCUCCAUUGAAAUAGCUUAAGUUUCCAGCACUAAAAUCAGUCACAAAACCCAUUUAUAAAUACCAUUUCGGAUCAAGAGUUCAGUGAUUUCAAAUCUCCGGCUCUCUGAAUCUGAGUCGAGUUCGAUUUUCAGUCAAGAGGUGGUCCGUUCGUGGAUUUUGGUCCAUUGUUAAUUUCCUGCAGAAUCCAUUCUUUUAAUAUAACUUUGUGUUGGAAGCACCUUGAAAGGUCCAUUUCUAACUUUGUCCCUCUUCAAAUAUUCAAUAUAUCCUUGCAAUUAGUUUUGAUGGAAUGAAAUAAUCUUGUGCAUAUUCUUUGAGAUUAUGUGUUGAUUUGUUUGGAUGGUAUUCGUACCGUUUUCAAUUAUCAUUAGUUUAAGGACUACGGAGUCUUGUGAUUGUUGAAUCAUUAGUCUUUUACUAAGCUUUGUUUUUAAAAGAAAAAUAGUGCACUAAGAAUUUUGGAUUAAACGAGUCAUGAAAAUCUCAAAUGGCUUUUUUUAGUUUUGAUCCAUGUUAUUUACGAAUUUUAGGCUUCUCUAUUUUUUUUAUAUGGUUUAUUUGUCUUAGAUGUUUUGUGGUUGUAAUAAUUGUCAGAAGAAUUGGAGCCACAGUUUUGAAUUAAACAAAUUAACGGAAGAAUAUUUGCUGGCAUGAAGUUAAUAAAGUUUUGUUAGUAAGAAUUGAGAGAUGAUUUUGGCUCAAGACAAUUUAUGUUGCUACUUUAUUCCUGUCUCAUUAAUCGCAUCGUUAGGAGUAUGCUUAGGCCGUCCUCACCUCGGGUAGGCAAGCCAUAGAAUUUUUGCUAGUUUUGAGGCGAGAGGUCGUUCCUUUAGUUAAAUUUAUCCGGGGAAUGCUCCGAAGGAUUUGUAUAUAUUUUGUUUUGGGGAAUGCCCCAUAGUAUCAUGUAUUUGAAAGCCGUGACGAACUUCAUGGAAGAAAUAUAGAAUAUAUUAGCAUUUAGGACUUUACUUUAAUUUUCUUUUAUUAGGUGGGGACAACCUCGAGCCUCUUGUGUGUUUAUUUUUCUUUUCUGUGUUUAUUUUUACCUUAAUUCGAAUAUUCUAAAAGCCA
rnacentral:lncRNA from 1 species